ACUGCUGGUGAGUUUGAAAAAUGA
rnacentral:piRNA from 1 species